AAACUGAUGUGAAAGAGAAAACUCAAGCUAAAAGAAAAUCUCAUGAAAAGAAAUCCAGACUGGAGAUCAUUCUGGAUUGCAAACAAACAAUACUCAAAAGUCAAGAGGGAUUAUCCCCCCGGGUAUAUAAUCGACAUCCCAAUAGUCUUUCAGCUGUAGAAGCCUCCACCAAUAUUACCGUCCACUGUUAGGCGAUUUGAGCUUUAUCCAUCCCUAUAUCAACAUCAAGAAAAGCUAGAUUCCAUGUGUUCUGCACUUUGACAUCUGGAUAGCAAAGUGGAACAAUUUAAAGUUUGAGCUUAAAGACUGUCUAUACUGAACAAGUUGGGCAGACGUUUGGAGAGUUAAACAUUGCACUCUGAGAAAUACUAAGAGCGAAAUGGAGAUCCAUAGCAAGAUUUGGAUCAGAUUUGGGAGGGAUCUUUCAGCAAAAGAAGAGUGUUUCCGUAGAGUUAAGAUUUAACUCAAGUGUCCAGAUUUGGGGGGCCAAACCUUUGCCUUAGGAUUGCAGGAGAAUAUCAAUCAUCAGUGGUCACCAACAGUUGCACAAAGCUAGUGAAGUGGCAUUGGUAUUUGAAAAACAUAUGUUUUCAGACAGCAAAAUUGAUAUCAUCAUUACAAAAGAAUAAGUGCAGCAAAAAGAAAACAUUUCGCUGACGUCGUUUGCUUUAUAUGUUGCUACGAUGCUUCGACAAUGUGCUUUGAGACCGUGUUCCAACUUACUUAACUAUACUCAGGUCAGCAAAGUCAUUACAGCACAAAGCUGGUCUAGGUGCCAGGAAAUAGCACAAAUCAUACAUGCCAAUCACAGUGGCAUUGAAGGUGCUGCAAGUUAGAAACUUCUUAGUCUCUCUUCACAAAAAUCUUCUCCAUUACGCUUCGCUUUGCGUUCACGGCUAAAGCAUUGUCAGAAAAUAGUUUACCUACUUUUCUGGUAUUGUUUCAUUAGUGUCACUUACUAUGAUUACCUGACUCUGAGGCAUGGUUUCAAAAAUCAUUCUCUUACCUGUACGAAGCCUUUGGUCAGACUGAAGCUCAAGUUCUAUUGUUUGUGAUUCGUUUAGCACCUGAGAUAAUUUAUUCUCAUGCUAAUGAGUGAGAGAAGAGGAUUUGAGAAAGGACUGGAAACUGCACUCGAAGCAUCUUCGUUGUACUUUUAGAUUUUUUGAGCAGGUGAAACUGGUCACCCAAGACCAUAGGAAGGAGCCCAUUUUGUUGAACUUCGUUGUUUUCUUUGUUGCUUUUUUGUUUCUGAUUGGUUCAGCACAUCUGCUACUGGUGAACAUAUAAUUGUAUUUCAAUUUGUUGUGAAAACUAUAGAAAUCAGACCAAGAAAGUGUUUUUUUUUU